rnacentral:lncRNA from 1 species
UCUCUGUGCUCGGGGCAUAAUGGCAUACAGGAUCUCAUUUGGACCUUCUCACUUUCCAGCUUUUUGUUGACAAAGACACAAUUGUUAACGCCGUUGGGGCAUCACAUGACAUCCAUCUCCUGAAGAUUGACAACCGGGAAGAUGAGCUGGUGACUGGAGUCAACUCUUGGUGUGCACAUCUCGUAGACAAGAUUCACAAAGAUGAGAUCAUGAGGAACCGUAAGCGAGUGAAGGAGAUCAAUCAAUUCGUCGACCAUAUGCAGAGUGAACUGGACAACCUGGAAUGUGGUGACAUUAUAGACUAGGUGUCAGCCAUCAGCCAGCGAUCCCCUCUAGAGCAUGGACCCAGCCCCUGAGAGUUAUGGGAUUUCUUUCAUUCACCCCUGUCUUAACACUGUUGGUAAUAAUUCUCAAUAUAGAGAAAAAUAAAGGUCUGGUGUCAGU